UUCAAUGUCUGCUUUUUUUUUUUAGAUUAAUUGAUUCAAGAGGUUUUUUUUUGUUUUUAAUAUUGGCCUUUUCUUUUUUUUUUAGAUUACCUAAUUCAAUAGUUUUUUUAAUUAUUUUAUAUUUUCAUUAGGUGUGAAAUGUGUUGACGCUUAGGUGGAAUAAUUUUUUUUCCAAAUCAGCCCCGUUAGUUAACUAACCUCCACGUCAACAUGUCUGUUAAAAAUAAACCAAUUUGACCAAAAAAAUAUGUUAGGUGUUAAAAUGCUCCCAAAAAAAAAAAAC
rnacentral:lncRNA from 1 species